GGGCCUUUUCCCGGCGAGUUCCAUGGUCUUUUUCCUAUUCGCGCGUCUGUGGAUUGGCUAUGUCGCUCUCCUGCCGUUGGAUCUUCAUUUUGAGCCUCCAUCUUCUCCGUCCGAAUGAGCUCCCGUAGCUGAGAUUGGGCAAGUUGUUCGUUUUCCUUCAAUGCAUUAAUUUCGAUCGCCUUUUUCGGCUUUCAUCUUCGUCGUCCGAAUGCGAUUGCCUUUCUAAUCUCCCUUCCGUUAGAUGCAUGUAUCUGCCACGUCAAUUUUGGCGGAUGUAUUCAAUGCUAGCAGCUUUCAUCAACCCCCAGUCUACAACUCGAAAUCCAUCUUUUGUUGUUGCAUUCCCUGCUAGCAGCUUGCAACGUUCGUGGAGAGGGGAUGCACACUGGAUUUGGGCGGUGGAUAAAAAAUUGGAUCCUUAACCUUCAAUAUCUGGUUUUUUGUUUCAUGGGUAUUUUGAUUUGUUCCUUAAUUCCAUUGGGUUUUUGGUUUCAAUCUCUUCGUGUUAUGUUUCAUUGUAGUUGGUCAAAGCUGCACCUUUUGGGGGAAGGAACUACGCAAUGAGGGAAGAUUGAAAGAGGACUCAAACAAAUAUUUGCUUCUAAGUCCAGUUCUUAAUUCGAUUUCUAUCUUCAAGAAUCAGGAGCAAAUCGUCUUCGUUGUCGCCCUUUUGUAUACGUCGAUUUGCUCCAGCGUCUUCUCAUCUCGACCGUUGAAGCUGGUGCAUGUAUCCACGCAACAAUUUAUGUCCAUCACUCACCUCUGUCUUUCGCUUAGUUUUGCUCAACUGCCUUGGGUCUUCUCAAGAAUAUCUGCUAUCUUCUAAGCUCGAUAGGGGUUACUGCUUUAUUGGUUGUCACCUGCUGGUUUUACCUUUCGUUUCUCAUUUGAUGAGUCUGGAAUAAUUGUUGUUUGGGACCUUCUAACUUCGGCAUGACUCUAUUUCUUUCAUCUUCUAUUUUUUCUCUCUGUAUCUCAUUUCAUGUGGCUGAAGUAGACGUCAAAUUUUGGACAAAUAAAUGUGAAGCUAGGUUGGGGUGGCCACUUGGUGGCUAGAUAUGGGUUUGCACAGCUAUUGCUUUUGUGAGAAAUCUUGAUGAUGAUGAGUUGGAUAGUCAUUUGGAGCAUAUUCAAAAUCUAUGUUACAGAAAAAUGAAGAAAACAUUCAGGGAAUCAAAGGUCAAAACACAAAAGCAAUACUACGCAUGAAAAAAUAAUCACUUGCAAGACCUAUGGAUCAUAUAUCACAAGAUAUAUUCUCCUAUGUGGAGCCUCACUUGCAGUCAUGGUUCAGAAGAUAUGGAUGGAAUUUUCUUAUGUGGUUUAGUCCUCAAACAUGCUCGGUGAUUUGGAGCCAAAGCUGAUGAAAGAGAUACUGAACAAUAAAGACAGAACUUAUUCAAAAAUUACUCCAGAUUAUAUAAAUAAGUUAGCAGGAGAUGGCCUUGAUUCAUCCAUUGGACGAAAAUGGUCUAAGAUGAGGAAAAACCACGCUUUCCAUGCAGAGAGCUUGAAAAAUAUGAUACCAGCGAUGAUUGUUAGUACGGAAAUGAUGCUUGAGAGAUGGAAAAAUUAUGAUCAACGUCGACUACAAAUCUACGAGAAACGAAUCAUUUUGUGGUGCUUCUGGCAUGAUGAGACCUUAGAAUGCUCUUCUUUUCAUUGUAUUUGUAAUAUGAGUAUAUUUCUUUCAUAUCCGUGUUCAUAUUUUCUUCAAAUAUUAGUGCAUCUGUACUAUGAACUUCAAAUAGGAGAAAUAGGAGCUCUGUUAUGU